CUCCCCUUAAGAAAUCAAAUUUAAAUUAUUUUAAACCGUGGGGCUCUGCAGACAGAAUCUCCAUGGAAGUGUAUGAAGCCUAUUGCUCAUAUGGGUUGCCCUAAGGGACCUUGUAGAUGGUC
rnacentral:snoRNA from 1 species